rnacentral:rRNA from 1 species
UACGAAGGGUGCAAACGUUGUUCGGAAUUACUGGGCGUAAAGCGCGUGUAGGCUGCUCGGAAAGUCGGAUGUGAAAGCCCUGGGCUUAACCUAGGAAGUGCAUUCGAAACUUCCGAGCUGGAGUUCUGGAGAGGAAGGCGGAAUUCUCGGUGUAGAGGUGAAAUUCGUAGAUAUCGAGAGGAACACCGGUGGCGAAGGCGGCCUUCUGGACAGUGACUGACGCUGAGACGCGAAAGCGUGGGGAGCAAACAGG